AGCUUUGCACAGUGACAGUAUCAUAGCCAAUGAGGUUUAUCCAAGGAGUGAUUAUUGCUAAUUGAAAACUUUUCCCAAUACCCAGCCGUGACAAAUUGCAAUAUAGUUGGCAUUGGCAAUUUUUAACAGUCUUUGUGGAGA
rnacentral:snRNA from 1 species